rnacentral:tRNA from 1 species
CCCCUGGAGGACUAGUGGUUAGGCCCCGGCACUCUCACCGCUGUGGCUUGGGUUCGAUUCCUGGCCAGGGAA